AUUGAACGCUGGCGGCAUGCCUUACACAUGCAAGUCGAACGGCAGCACGGGUGCUUGCACCUGGUGGCGAGUGGCGAACGGGUGAGUAAUACAUCGGAACGUACCUUAUCGUGGGGGAUAACGCAGCGAAAGCUGUGCUAAUACCGCAUACGCCCUAAGGGGGAAAGCGGGGGAUCGCAAGACCUCGCGCGAUUAGAGCGGCCGAUGCCUGAUUAGCUUGUUGGUGGGGUAAAAGCCCACCAAGGCGACGAGCAGUAGCUGGUCUGAGAGGACGAUCAGCCACGCUGGGACUGAGAAACGGCCCAGACUCCUACGGGAGGCAGCAGUGGGGAAUUUUGGACAAUGGGGGCAACCCUGAGCCAGCAAUGCCGCGUGAGUGAAGAAGGCCUUCGGGUUGUAAAGCUCUUUUGUCAGGGAAGAAACACCGGCUCUAACACAGUCCGGGAAUGACGGUACCUGAAGAAUAAGCACCGGCUAACUACGUGCCAGCCGCCGCGGUAA
rnacentral:rRNA from 1 species